rnacentral:tRNA from 1 species
GGGGCCAUAGCUCAGUUGGGAGAGCGCCUGCUUUGCAAGCAGGAGGNNUUCGAAUCUUGUUGGCUCCA